GAUGAACGCUGGCGGCGUGCCUAAUACAUGCAAGUCGAGCGAACAGACGAGGAGCUUGCCCCUCUGACGUUAGCGGCGGACGGGUGAGUAACACGUGGAUAACCUACCUAUAAGACUGGGAUAACUUCGGGAAACCGGAGCUAAUACCGGAUAAUAUAUUGAACCGCAUGGUUCAAUAGUGAAAGACGGUUUUGCUGUCACUUAUAGAUGGAUCCGCGCCGCAUUAGCUAGUUGGUAAGGUAACGGCUUACCAAGGCAACGAUGCGUAGCCGACCUGAGAGGGUGAUCGGCCACACUGGAACUGAGACACGGUCCAGACUCCUACGGGAGGCAGCAGUAGGGAAUCUUCCGCAAUGGGCGAAAGCUUGACGGAGCAACGCCGCGUGAGUGAUGAAGGUCUUCGGAUCGUAAAACUCUGUUAUUAGGGAAGAACAAAUGUGUAAGUAACUAUGCACGUCUUGACGGUACCAAAUCAGAAAGCCACGGCUAACUACGUG
rnacentral:rRNA from 1 species